CAAACAUAGGAAAGGUUGAAGGGUCAAAAGUGAAACUUUGAUUAAAAUCACAAGUGAGUCAUCUACAAUAGCACAAGUCCACUGCAGAAACGACGGUUUGGGGGAAACCGAAAGCUCAGACAACGCUAGAGGAGGAGGCGGCAGAGGGAAGGGUUGGGUGUUGCCUCCCUCCGCAGCCCAUGAUCUCCGAUUUCCCCCCGAAAUUCAACACCCCUUACAUCUGGGAUGGAACUCCGAUCGUCUGAUCAUCCGAUUGCUUGUUGACUGGACUGCUUCUUCUAUAAUCUUUUCUUUUUGGUUUGGUCUGAUUGGUGCAAGUGUGGAUCAAGGUGUUUAAAUUUAUAUUGGUCCGGGUGUUGCAGCUUGGCUUCGGCAAUUUUCUAAACUACAGUUUGGUGUCCAAGUGGGUUUAAAAGCCGGUUCUUAUUUGGUCAACAAAGUUGAAAUCGGAUUAAACCCGAAACAGUUUUAGAUGGCAAUUGUUGUAUGUGGAGGUUGAUAUUCACUUGCAACUGUGAUUGCAGCCAUGGCAGAUUUCAGCAAUUCAAGUUCCAUUGCAACAUAUCUGAGCCUUUUAAAUGUUUGUGCAAAGUUUGAUUAUCAUACUAAUUGUAUACGUAAGUUUACUACAGUUUUGAAUUAUGUUCGUGCAAAGUUUGAUUAUCAUACUAAUUGUAUACGUAAGUUUACUACAGUUUUUUUUCUGACUGGUGCAAGCAUGGGUCUGUUUAAAUGUUUCACGGUCUGACUGGUGCAAGCUCGGCUUCGGCAAUUUUUUUAACUACAAUAUGCUGUUUGCAUUCUGUAUUAGUUUCUUGCUUUUUUUUUCUUUCUAUUUUGUUUUGCUUCAGCUCCCCGUCGUAGCAUAUUUUUGCCUUGGUUUUGAAUAUUUUUGGUGAAAAGGACAAGUGUGUAUGGUUCGUUGACCAGGGAGAGGCUUCUCAACAAGAUCCUUGAGGCUGCUAAUUGAGAACAAAAUUUGCUCGCAUUACAAUUCAUAUGGAACAAAUUAAACAUGUUUGGGGGCGGUAUUAAACAUGCUUCCGACAAACGUAUCGUUAGUAAAUUAGGGUAGGGUUAUCUCUUCUACACUGUGUCCUUUUUGUGGAGUUACCCCCGAAGAGGUCGAUCACCUUUUUUAUCAAUUGUGGACUGGUGAGUGAUUUGUGGCGACAGGUUUUAUUGUGGUGCAAAAUUCCCAUAUUCUGCGCAGCCUUAACAAGGGAGUGGGUCGAUUACCAUCUUUCAUAUGAAAUCACAUUGGAAGCUUCUUUGAAUCUUCGAGCAGUUUUUCCUUACAGUCUUGUGGCGUUGGGGAACAAGGAAUGACCAAGUUUUUAAUAAUGAGAACUCUAUGAAAUCACAUUAGAAGAGGCUGAAACUAUGUCUUCUCUUUAUAGAUCAAAUACAGUGGAAAUUUAAUCUCAUUAGAUUGGGCUUGCUACUUUGCUUAAUGUGUAAUUGUGUACUCUUUUCUAGUUUCUAGCUCCUGGCUAGAACCUGUUCGUCAUCUAUCGGCUUAUCACUACUUUCUGGUACAAUUGGGCGGCGAGGAAGGCGAUGGUUGAAGCGUCGACAUGUGUGGCGGUGAUGGAGAAGCUUUGAUCUAAUGACUUUCAGGUGACGAAGAGAAAAAGUGGUGCUGGUGACUUGAGAACAUGGGAUGGCGAGGACCAAGAUGACGACGGUGUUAAAAGUAUACUUUUUCCGGCAACCAUUGGACCAAUCAAACAAGAUCUUGGUUUUCAACAAUUCAUCAGAUUUACCGUGAACCCUCUUGACGUACCUCCCAUCCAUUGCCGUCAGCCCUCACCAUCAUUCAACCUUUUUUAUGUUACUUGAGAUAUCAAGGUGAAGCGUAGAAGAAAUUUUACAACUCUAGCUUGGGAUGAUUGGUUUAAGUUCAACGGUUGUGCUAAACUACGAUUUUCUUUGUGUGUGUUUUUUUUACCGAAUGUAUUAUCUUCAUCCUACUAAAUCAAUAACAUCAUUUCUCCAACUUUAUUCAUAGGAGAUGCGUUCAACAUAAAUGGAAGAUAGAUUUAGCCUCA